UAUAUGUAUGAAUGUAUAAAAUUUGUUAAUUUAUAAGAGUAUACAUCGAUUUACAACAAUUUGUGUGGCGUUAACAUAAGGACCUUUGGAUGGGACUGAAGCUCAUGGGUAUUGUCGGCUUUGGUUAUACGCUGGUAUAAGAAAGCUUCGAGGUAGAUGGCAUCCAACGUCCAUGGAGCUCCAUUUAAUUUGUGCCGGAAAAUUACAACCCAUUUACAUGCACUGAUGAUCAAAACGGAAAGGAUAAAAAACUUGUGCUUCCGAUGACCGACCGGAUUAAGAUUACAAUCUCAAGGAGUAGAAGACUGAGGAAAACUAUGGUCAUGGUAUACAGGUGUGAGAAGAAUUCAGAGAGAGAGGCCAUGGCGGCUGCUGCUGCUGAAGUUAGCGUGUAAAACUAUGGAACUUUAUAAUAGUAUUUAUGACACGUACGAUUCCACAGUGAAUGUGGCUAGGUGCACUUCAUCAGGCUUUGGUGCACUUAAUGUUCACUUCCGAACUUGUUGAGUAACUAAAGUGGUGACAUGUGGAAUCUUGGCAUAGAAUUAUCCCUGAUUAGGUUUAAAAAGAAACAUAUUGUUCUCCAAGUUAAUUAAUAUUCAACGGAUUUCAGCUAUGUGGUCAAUGAAUUUGACUGAAAAACAAAUAAAAUUAGGAAGAAACCAAGAUGAGGAGUAAUACAUGGUUGAUCUCACAUGAGAUUAUCCUCACAAGUCAACCAAAAGUGUUGAAAAUUAUGUGGUUUCAUCGAUGAGAUCCUCAGACUGGAGUCAGGACGGCUAAAUUCAUCAGCACAGAAAGGGAGCGGUAGGACUGUUCAAAAAGAAACUCUGGUGUGACAUUAGCACUAUCUUUCGCAUAAUUAUUAUGGCAUAGACUAUAGGGUCCAAUACGUUAUUGUCAGUAUGAUGAAAAAUGUCAA